UCUUGUCGAUUUGUUAAUUAUUCCAGUUGCUUUUUGCAGAUAUUUUACAGACCAUUUAAUCGGGUAAUUGCAUCCAAAGAGAAUGAGAAAUGACAUGAGUGUAUGGAGAAUUUUUGUUACUUUAAUUGUGCCACCAACACACCACAAACAUUAUUUACACUGCAUGCUAUUCUAUAGGAUUUUAUGUACAAAUUCUGAUACAGGAAACACGUCAAGUCAGUUGGCAUGCGGCAACUUUCGGCCUUAGUUUCGAUUGUCAUGUCAGCAUUUGCUGCUCAUACAAAUAUUCGUCAGUCGAAAGCAGAACUGCGAAGCGACAACAGCUCCACAUACAACAAAACAAAUAAAAUAAGAAGUAAAUAUUAACUGAUACAACCAACAAAAUGGAGGGUGAAGAGAACAAGGAGAACAUUGAGCCACAAGUGCCCAACCGUUCAUCGCCCGCUAAUGCUGCCCGCCCGAUGAUGAACAACGCCACGGUGCGCGUCUACAAUGUAGCACCAUCGCGGGCUCGCAUGCGUAAUGCCACCGCGAAUGCUGGGCCAACUGGCAGCCAUCCCAACAACCCCAUUAACUUGCGUGAAUAUGACUUAAUGGCGCCAUACAGCAGGAGGCCGCGCGGAUCAUACCGCGGAGUAUAAUAGUUAAUUAUUUACACGCAAAUGAGCACAAACUGAUACAAUGCUGCCAAGCAGCACAACAACAAAAACUCGUGACGAUAUUUGGCAAUAUACACAGGUUCCAUAAAUAUCGAGGAGCAGUACGGCUAUCGGCGCUGUCCGUCCGUUGGUCAGACCCCCGAAUCAUUGCGUACUCCAACUUAUCAAGUUAAUAAUCACUGAUAUAUCGUUUGCAAU